rnacentral:rRNA from 1 species
AACGAACGCUGGCGGCAGGCUUAACACAUGCAAGUCGAACGCCCCGCAAGGGGAGUGGCAGACGGGUGAGUAACGCGUGGGAACGUGCCCUUCGCUUCGGAAUAGCCCCGGGAAACUGGGAGUAAUACCGAAUACGCCGUAUUGGGAAAGAUUUAUCGGCGAAGGAUCGGCCCGCGUUAGAUUAGCUAGUUGGCGGUGUAAUGGACCACCAAGGCUACGAUCUAUAGCUGGUCUGAGAGGAUGAUCAGCCACACUGGGACUGAGACACGGCCCAGACUCCUACGGGAGGCAGCAGUGGGGAAUCUUGGACAAUGGGCGCAAGCCUGAUCCAGCCAUGCCGCGUGAGUGAAGAAGGCCUUAGGGUUGUAAAACUCUUUCGCCGGAGAAGAUAAUGACGGUAUCCGGAGAAGAAGCCCCGGCUAACUUCGUGCCAGCAGCCGCCGCGGUAA